AGAGUUUGAUCCUGGCUCAGAAUCAACGCUGGCGGCGUGCCUAACACAUGCAAGUCGAACGCGAAAGUGGAGCAAUCCAUGAGUAGAGUGGCAAACGGGUGAGUAACACGUGGGUGACCUGCCUUCGAGCGGGGGAUAACGUCCCGAAAGGGACGCUAAUACCGCAUGACAUCCUGUCUUUUAACAGAUGGAGAUCAAAGCCGGGGAUCGCAAGACCUGGCACUCGAAGAGGGGCCCGCGCCUGAUUAGCUAGUUGGUGAGGUAAUGGCUCACCAAGGCGACGAUCAGUAUCUGGCCUGAGAGGGCGGACGGACACACUGGGACUGAGACACGGCCCAGACUCCUACGGGAGGCAGCAGUGGGGAAUUGUUCGCAAUGGGCGCAAGCCUGACGACGCAACGCCGCGUGGAGGAUGAAGAUCUUCGGGUCGUAAACUCCUUUCGAUCGAGAUGAAUGGCCUCCGGGUGAACAACCCGGAGGAAUGACAGUACCGAGAGAAGAAGCCCCGGCUAACUCCGUGCCAGCAGCCGCGGUA
rnacentral:rRNA from 1 species